UCCCCUGUAGCUCAGUGGUAGAGUGCUCCGCCUAUUCUUAGGUUUAUUCUUAGGAGAGGGCCGCGGUUUGAGUCCGCGCAGGGAAA